GACGAACGCUGGCGGCGUGCUUAACACAUGCAAGUCGAACGGUAAGGCCCUUCGGGGUACACGAGUGGCGAACGGGUGAGUAACACGUGGGUGAUCUGCCCUGCACUUCGGGAUAAGCCUGGGAAACUGGGUCUAAUACCGGAUAGGACCACUGCCUGCAUGGGUGGGGGUGGAAAGCUUUUGCGGUGUGGGAUGGGCCCGCGGCCUAUCAGCUUGUUGGUGGGGUGAUGGCCUACCAAGGCGACGACGGGUAGCCGGCCUGAGAGGGUGACCGGCCACACUGGGACUGGGAUACGGCCCAGACUCCGACGGGAGGCAGCAGUGGGGAAUAUUGCACAAUGGGCGCAAGCCUGAUGCAGCAACGCCGCGUGAGGGAUCACGGCCUUCGGGUUGUAAACCUCUUUCAGCACCGACGAAGCGCAAGUGACGGUAGGUGCAGAAGAAGGACCGGCCAACUACGUGCCAGCAGCCCCGCCGU
rnacentral:rRNA from 1 species